GACGAACGCUGGCGGCGUGCCUAAUACAUGCAAGUCGAGCGGACUGAAUGGGAGCUUGCUCUUGUUCGGUCAGCGGCGGACGGGUGAGUAACACGUGGGCAACCUGCCCGCAAGACCGGGAUAACUCCGGGAAACCGGAGCUAAUACCGGAUAACACCGAAGACCGCAUGGUCUUUGGUUGAAAGGCGGCGCAAGCUGCCACUUGCGGAUGGGCCCGCGGCGCAUUAGCUAGUUGGUGAGGUAACGGCUCACCAAGGCGACGAUGCGUAGCCGGCCGGAGAGGGUGACCGGCCACACUGGGACUGAGACACGGCCCAGACUCCUACGGGAGGCAGCAGUAGGGAAUCUUCCGCAAUGGGCGAAAGCCUGACGGAGCGACGCCGCGUGAGCGAAGAAGGCCUUCGGGUCGUAAAGCUCUGUUGUGAGGGACGAAGGAGCGCCGUUUGAAGAAGGCGGCGCGGUGACGGUACCUCACGAGGAAGCCCCGGCUAACUACGUG
rnacentral:rRNA from 1 species